rnacentral:misc_RNA from 1 species
GAUGAAGAACGUAGCGAAAUGCGAUAAGUAAUGCGAAUUGCAGAAUUUAGUGAGUCAUCGAAUCUUUGAACGCACAUUGCGCCCGCCAGCACUCUGGCGGGCAUGCCUGCUCGAGUGUCAUUUUAACAAUUAGGCUUGUCGCUUAACUGCUAGGCCUAUUUUGGGGUUCUGCGGAUGCAUGCAGGCCCUGAAAACCAGUGGCAGACUUGCGGUUGCCCCAAGCGUAGUAACCAAUGUAUCUCGCUUCGGAAGGCGCUUCGAGCCACCAAAACACGCACUGUGCAUUGGGGAUAUCUAUCCCUUGCUCAAGCUUGACCUCGGAUUAGGUAGGAGGACCCGCUGAACUUAAGCAUAUCAAUAAGCGGAGGA